rnacentral:rRNA from 1 species
AUUGAACGCUGGCGGCAGGCCUAACACAUGCCAGUCGAGCGGAUGAAGGGAGCUUGCUCCUGGAUUCAGCGGCGGACGGGUGAGUAAUGCCUAGGAAUCUGCCUGGUAGUGGGGGAUAACGUCCGGAAACGGGCGCUAAUACCGCAUACGUCCUGAGGGAGAAAGUGGGGGAUCUUCGGACCUCACGCUAUCAGAUGAGCCUAGGUCGGAUUAGCUAGUUGGUGGGGUAAAGGCCUACCAAGGCGACGAUCCGUAACUGGUCUGAGUGGAUGAUCAGUCACACUGGAACUGAGACACGGUCCAGACUCCUACGGGAGGGAGCAGUGGGGAAUAUUGGACAAUGGGCGAAAGCCUGAUCCAGCCAUGCGGCGUGUGUGAAGAAGGUCUUCGGAUUGUAAAGCACUUUAAGUUGGGAGGAAGGGCAGUAAGUUAAUACCUUGCUGUUUUGACGUUACCAACAGAAUAAGCACCGGCUAACUUCGUG